CAGCCGCCGCGGGAAUACGUAGGGUGCAAGCGUUAAUCGGAAUUACUGGGCGUAAAGCGCGCGUAGGUGGUUUGUUAAGUUGGAUGUGAAAUCCCCGGGCUCAACCUGGGAACUGCAUCCAAAACUGGCAAGCUAGAGUAUGGUAGAGGGUGGUGGAAUUUCCUGUGUAGCGGUGAAAUGCGUAGAUAUAGGAAGGAACACCAGUGGCGAAGGCGACCACCUGGACUGAUACUGACACUGAGGUGCGAAAGCGUGGGGAGCAAACAGGAUUAGAUACCCGAGUAGUCCCUGUCUCUUAUAC
rnacentral:rRNA from 1 species